UGCAGUAUUGCAGUUAAUUUUUCAAUAUGUACUGUUAAACUAUUCAAGAGCCACAAGUAUGAUUCUACUGAGCUGCAUGCAGCUCACAAGCCACAGAUUGCCAACCCCUGAACUAGGCUGUGAACUAUUUCUUAUAUUUUUAAAUAACACAGUUAUGUUUUAAUAUUACCUAAAAACUUAAUGCAAACAUUGAUUGAGUUUAAAAACAUAAAAGAUAAUGCUAAAAACUACAUUAUAUAUAUAUUAACAAUAUUUACUAUAACAACAUUAUGCUUCUGAUAGAACCUAGCUCCAACUGUUAAUUAUACUACUGCUAUUUGUCAUCAUAUAAAUUUCUAUAUUCUCUAUCACUUGACCUUUAGCUAUUGUUAUGCUGACAUCUUCCCAUGCAACUGUUGAAUCAAAAUUUACAAUCCUAUGGAAAAGUGCCAUUUUUUUUUUCUGAUCUACACUCUGUUCUUUUAAUCUCUUCAAUAAUGAUCAACAAGUGUAAUAUAUUUAGACCUUUUUCUUAUGAAGAUAGUCAUCUUCAUAUUUCAGUGGUUUAUGAGAAACUAACCUCUCUGCACAUCUUCCUAUUGAAUAUCAUUAUUUCAGAUUGUAACUAAAAUAAUGAGAACAAUACACAGAUAAGGAGACUCACCAUUAUUUCUUCAUCCAAAAAACAUUUAUUUCUUUCCCUUAUUAGUUACAUUAAUUGUACAGUAACAAAAAAAAAUCACCAGGCCAACACAAAAGACAAUUUUCAUCAACUUCUCCACCAAUGCCACUUUAUGUCACCAGUUAACAUAUUAAUCUAACUAAUAUUUACAUCAACUGUUUUAUAUUUUAAAUUGCAAUAUACCUAUAUAAAUAUAUUUCUUUUUUAGUUUUCUUUUUUCUUCAACACCAUAUUCCUACACUGUUAUCUAUAUCAUCAUUGCAAAUUAGGAUGCUCUGGUUCUUUGGUAGACAACCAAAGCUAAAUCAUAUUCUGAAAUAAUUACCAGGGUUAUGAUAAAAUACUUAAAUUUUAAUUUGUGUUAAAAUGGAAUCAAGAUUGUAGAAAUAAAAGAUGAUGAAUGCAUAAAAUUGCAAAGCAUAGAAAUAUUUGUUUUAACUUUAUAACCUUUGCUUAUGCUCUUGUUGACUUUUACUGAUUCAUAUUUUUUGAACUGGCAUUUAAAUGAGCAGCGGUCACCAAUAUAUAUAUAUAUAUAUAUAUAUAUAUAUA
rnacentral:lncRNA from 1 species